UAUUAGAUGGCUGAAAAAAGUCUUGGUCUCUUAAAUCAAUUAUAGUAUUAAACUUCUAAUAA
rnacentral:tRNA from 2 species